UGCGGCUUCCGGCUGUGCGCAUGGGCUCUGGGCCGCUGUCCUGCAGCCUCAUGGUCCGGCUUCUGAUGUGCGAGGUGCACUCGGGGAUCCGUUCCUUACCGCCCCGGUACCCCGACUUCUGUCAACCCCUGAUUUCCGCUCUGGGAGGCCCUCGCCAGCUGCCCUGAAGGGGCGUUGUGUCGAGUGCGACCCUCCAAAGGUAGAGUCUUGAGCUUUUUGCUUGAGCUUGCCUCAGAUCAUGCAAUCCCUACUACCUAUGGAAUCCCAUGUGGCUGGGAUUACAGAAGUGCACCAUCAUACCUGGCCCAAUGCCUGAAUUUUAUUAAAGGUCCCAUCUAACACCGAAGGACUACAUGGAAGGUAUACAACUGUGGAAGGGUGGGGGGCAGGAAGCUUGGAGAUCAUUUGAUAACUCUGCC